GUGUUUAGAUUCUGUUCCACAGAUGGCGGUAAUGCACACGAAAGCUGAUUGCCAACCGCCAAUAAACAACAGAAGAAGAAAAACACGACGAAGAAGAAGAACGAACCCCAACAACUUUCAGUUCAAACGGUCUCCCCAACUCUACCUGACUGGGAUACCUUCAUCUGAGGAUUUUAUGGGGGCCCAAAGGUGCAGGGAAGAAAUGGUCCGGCUUAACUCCGGAGGGAAGCCAUAGAUGGGCUUGACCUUUUGCAGCGUGUCAAGCAAAGAAACCUGGCGGGAAAAGAGAGAGAACCCUCCAAGGCAGAUGCUGCUGAGGAUGGGAAGCCUUAAUGUCAUGCAUAUUGUAAUGAGACGAGCUCCACCUAUGGACCACCUGUUGAACUGCAGUCCUGUAUGUAAAUACAGUAUAAUCAAGCAUCUUGGUGGUAAAAUGGUAAUACGAGUGUUGAGACACUUCAUUUUUUCAUAUUUUUUUCAUUUUUUCACAGCAUGACUGGGCUUUCAUUGUUUAUUAUGACUUUAUUAUGAUUUUUUGGGGAGUUUUUCUGUUUGGAGUGUGGUUUGAAAAAACUAAGUGAUCUCUGACCUCACCAAAUGCUCUCCAAGCACUCCAACAUAUUAUAGGUCGUUAAGUCGUUUACAUACAUUAAUUGACUAAAAAAUUGA